rnacentral:rRNA from 1 species
UGGGGAAUUUUGCGCAAUGGGCGAAAGCCUGACGCAGCGAUGCCGCGUGAGUGAAGAAGGCCCUUGGGUUGUAAAGCUCUUUCGGCCGAGAAGAAGGGUCUGCCGGCAAAUAGUCGGCGGGUUUGACUGUAUCGGAAGAAGAAGCACCGGCUAACUCCGUGCCAGCAGCCGCGGUAAUACGGAGGGUGCAAGCGUUGCUCGGAAUCAUUGGGCGUAAAGGGCGCGUAGGCGGGCGCAUAAGUCGAUUGUGAAAGCCCCGGGCUUAAC